UACGGAGGAUCCAAGCGUUAUCCGGAUUUAUUGGGUUUAAAGGGUGCGUAGGCGGGACAGUAAGUCAGUGGUGAAAUCCUAUCGCUUAACGAUAGAAUUGCCAUUGAUACUGCUGACCUUGAGUACAAAUGAUGUGGGCGGAAUGUGCAGUGUAGCGGUGAAAUGCUUAGAUAUUGCACAGAACACCGAUAGCGAAGGCAGCUCACAAAAAUGUAACUGACGCUGAGGCACGAAAGUAUGGGGAUCAAACAGGAUUAGAUACCCUGGUAGUCCAUACAGUAAACGUUGAUAACUCGAUGUGUGCGAUAUACAGUACGCGUCCAAGGGAAACCGAUAAGUUAUCCACCUGGGGAGUACGACCGCAAGGUUGAA
rnacentral:rRNA from 1 species